rnacentral:misc_RNA from 1 species
CAAAAUAAUUGUUUAAAAAAUGUUUAAAUUAAUUAUAUCACCUGAACUUUAUAGAAACAUAUUGUACGCGUCCCGAACUAUAUGAGAAUUAAUAAGAAAAUAAAAGGUAAAAUGGAGAAUAUGUAUGUGCCAGUAGACAAUUCGUCGUCGAUAGAGUACAUCUUACGUCCAAUAUCGUAUAUUUGCUGGCUCAUGGAGGUCGGUGUUGCACAUCCGCGAAAGUGUCGCAAGAUUGUAAUGAUAAUCACACGUAUCGUUCACUUGGCCUUCUGUACAGUUAGCCUGAGAGCAUUUCUAAAACAUGCUGGCAACAUUUAACGAUGAAGUAAAUUAUUGGUUUAUCGUACAGGAAGUGAUACGUCAUGUGUCGGCAUAUUACUAUAUUUAUUACGGAAUUAGGCAGCAUGGCUAGUGGCCGGUGAUGGACAAAAUAAAAGAGAUUGAUCAGAAUUCUCGAAACGCAGUCCUCACUAAACUCAAAGUGCAUAAUGUAUCAAAUUAAACUAACAAAUAAUAAUAAUAAUAACAAUAGUGAUAAUAAUACCAAUGUGAAUAAAUAUUUUAUUGUUAGAACACUUAGAAAAUAUUUUUUUGCGAAAAAUAUACCUUAGCCAAGAAGGGAAUCUGAAGAUAUGUAAUAAUAUCUGUCACAACAAUAAAUUUAUAUCAAGGGAAAGUGUUUCUUCCAGGUUGCGUGUUAUAAAUAAUAAAGUUGUAUUUCAACUUUUAAUUUAAGCCAUGUGUUCCUCAAUAUAAUAUAAUUGCAAAAUUUUGUAUAGAGAAGCGUUAUUAUGACGGAAAAUGUCCUGUAUGAGAUAUCAAAAUAAACAGUUUGUGUAAUAAAAAUAACAUAAAAUUAUUAAAAUUGUUAUUAAGCAUUUAUUAAUGUAUUAAUUAAACGUAUUUAUUACGGAAUUAGGCAGCAUGGCAAGUGGCCUUUAAAAUUUAUUUUUAUAGGGAGAAUUAUGCACUUGGCAGUUUUUUCAUUUUACGAGAUGUGACUUUCAUUUAUUUAAAAAUUUAUAUUGGUAAAAAUAUUUGUAGCAGCAACAAUUGUAGCUGCAUUUUCUAAAUUUUUUGUACUGUACUCAUUUCAAUUUGUCACACGCAAGAGAAUCCAAAUCUAAGGUAGAAACAGCUAGUUUGUAAAAUUAAUUUAAUUACGAAAAAAGAUAUUGAGUUGUAAUCUUACAUUUUGUUAUGCAGAUAUUUAAAAUCUUGUCAUCAUGAGGUAUUCACGACAUUAAUUUUUUCUUCUGUUCAGCAAACUUUUUCCUGAUUCUGACUUCACUUUUCAAAAUCUACAGAAAUAUCCUGGAAAAAACCUUAAGUAUGUAAUGUUAUUUAAUAUCGUUUAGCUUACAUAUAGGUAACAAUUUAUCUGUUUUAAUCUUCUUAAUUGAUUCAAAUCAUUGAUACUACUUCUCAUAUUUACCUACAUUCGCAUGUAAUGAGCUUGUGGUGAUUAAUAUCUGUUUAAUUAAAUUUCUUUAAUUUCUUAAAAUUGCAUUGCAUUUAUCAUGGAAGGCACGCAAUCUAAUAUGCAGGAUUGCAAAAAUAAUAAGUUGUUUUUUUCUGUUACACGAAGUGUUAGGAAGAAUUCACGAUACGCGCUUGUCAGAGUAUUUCGCUUCCAGAAAACUUUACUAUUUUCCUACAACAUAUUCCUACAAAUAUUGCAAAAAGUGUCUUUAAUGUCUUUAAUAUAAUCUGCAGGCAUAACGCCGAUUAGAUAAAUAAUAAGAAGUAAAAAUGGAAAAAAUAGAUGUACCAGUAGAUGACAACUCGCCGUCGAUAGAGCAUAUUUUACGUCCAAUAUCGUUUACUUCCUGGUUGCUGGGCGUCGGUGUUGCACGUCCGCAAAAGUGUUCCAAAGCUGUGACGAUAAUCAUACGUAUCGUUCAUUUGGCCGUGUGUUCAGUUAGCAUGGUGUACCACGUGAUAGAUUAUAUUUCAUAUUACUUUAGCAUUUACGAUCCCGAUGACCACGUAUACACCAUUAUAUACUGUAUAGAUAGGGUGAUGUGCUUUGUAUCGGCGUAUUACUACGUUUAUCACGGAAUUGGACAAUAUGACAAGUGGCCGGAGUUGAUGAAUAAAAUAAAAGAGCUUGAUCAGAAGAUCAGGAGAGAAACACACAUUAAUAACCAACCAGUAAAGAAUGCGGCAGUGGUAGCGCUUCUCACGACUUUCGUUUGCUAUUUGUUAUUUCUAAACCUACACAUCUUCUAUUAUUUUAUGUAUACACAGGACAUUUACGUGACUGAUUUUUUAUUUGAUUACACGUUAAUCCAGUCGUUGAUCAACAGUUUCAUUUUUGAUGUUGUUGUCUAUGUGCUCUACUACAGAUUUCAAACGAUAAAUAAAGUAAUUAAUCAGUUGGACGUGAUGGCUAAUCCGCCAUGGAUCGCGCUCAAAAUUAGACGCAUUAGAGAAUGGCAUACUAGUAUUUGUGAUCUUGUCAUGCUGGCAAACGAUAUUCACGGUGUUCAUCUUCUUUUCUGCUCAGUAAACAGCUUUACCAUGGUCGUGGCUGCAUUGUUCAGAAUUUACUCAGCUGUCUUGACGAGAGAGGAUAAGUAUUAUGAAAUAUUGAUAGAUAAUAUCAUUUGGAUUUUGGGUACCAUACAAUUUGGUCUGAUGUGCUGGAUUUGUACACUUGCGCGUCAAGAAUCCGACAAGACUGGGAUAAUUAUGUGCGCAAUUCUACUGAAAUACAAAUCUAUGAAUCAGGAUAAACUACACGAGACAGGGAAUCUACUAAAUGUAGAAAUGCGAUCGCCAUCGGAAAAUCAGGAUAGCGAGCAAAAUUUUAAUUGCAGUGGCGGUCACAAUUUAAAUUACAUAGAAAAUUUUUUGCGUAAAAACCUAGAAAAAGAUUGUGUGAGAAACGAGAUCAAUGACUUUUUGAUUCAACUACAACACCAUCGAGUAGCAUUUAUGGCGUGCAAUUUCUUCGAAAUGAGCAAUAUUUUGUUUAGUGGUGUGAGUACAUAAUUUGCUUAUUUUAUUACAAUUUAUAUAAAAUUAUCUAAUUUUAAGUACAAUGUAAUAAUAGUUUUUGAAGCAAUUAAAUGAAGUAAACUUAUUUUUCAGUUUAUCGGGAUGAUCAUUACUUAUUUAAUAAUCUCCAUUCAAUUUUCUAAAUGAUCCAAAUAUCUUUUUAUUUAGAACUAUUUGUCUUUGCAUCUAUAGUUUGUUGCAUAUCGCGGAUAUAUUACACAGAUAUUAAAAAAUAGAGUUUUUGAUACUUCUGCUGUUAAUAGAUUUGAAAGAAAAAACGCUUUAAUAUUAUAUUUAAUAUUAACAACCUUGCACUAAUUGCAGUAAUUAAAAAUGUAGUUAAAUGUAAAAGUAAAUAAAUUAAUAAAAUUUCUACAGAAACGUAGUACAAGAUUUAUUGAAAGUAUUUUGUGUUCUAUUAGCACCUACAUUCCUUGCAUAUUAAAUUUGCAUUAACAAACAGUUUUUUAAUACAUAAUGACUCUUUUAAUUAAGAAAAAUAAUUAAAAAAAAAUAAGUCUAAUAUAGUUUAUAAAUUGUUAUUAAGUUUAGUAUUAACACUUUCAUACACUUAAAAAUACUUACAAAAGUUUAAAUAUUAAGUUUAAAUAUUAAAACUCAAAUUUUAAUUAAAUUAAAGAAAAGAAAUAAUACCAAUAGCAUGAAAGUGGCAAAAGUAAAUUCGACUGGCAGGUGCAUUGUGGAUAAAUAACAAGUCGGACUUUCUCAUACGAAAAUUGAUUAAAGCGCUGUGAUUUCUAAUAGUACAAUAUUAGAAAAGUAAUUUUUUAAUACUAUAACAUCCAUUAAAAAAUAAAUUUAAUUUUACUUUUCAAUAUUCUUAAUUGAUUCAUAUCAUUGAUCAUUGUCUUUCCUUAUUUACAUUUGCACUUAUUUACAUUUCUUUACAUUUGCACUGUGUUAAGCUUAAUAUUUUCUUAGAUCUAUUUUAGGUGCGUGUGCGUGAGUGUCAAAAAAACAUACUUCUUUUUCUCGCGAUUGCCUUAUCUCAUUUUUUUUCUGCUUUUUAAAUUGCCAUUCCCCUCCACAUGGCCCAGCACAGAAUGUAUAUACACUUCUUGCUAUUAAUAAGAGUAACGGAGAAGUUCGAACUUCAGUUUGUGGGUCAGACCUAACCUAUUGAAUUUAUUACAGUUGCUUUACAUUCAUAGCAGCUAUAGUUGCAACGAAUUUAAUAUUGCAGAAUUGUAGAAGUAAUACGUUCUUUACUGUAUUGUGAAGCAUCAGGGAGUACUUGCGGGGUUGUCAAAGCGUUUAACUUUUCAAAAAGUUUUACUAUUUUUCUUACAAUAUAUUUAGCAUCGUGAAGAGCUUUAAUGUAAUUACCAACCAUCGUUUGCAAAUUACGUUUGCAAUUAACAAGAAAAUAAGUGGUAAAAAAUGGAGCCAGACUACGUGCCAGACAACUCGCUGUCGAUAGAGUACACCUUACGUCCAAUAUCGUAUACUUGCUGGCUCAUGGGUAUCGGCGUUGCACGUCCGCAAAAAUGUGCCAAAGCUGUAACGAUAAUUAUACGUAUUUUUCAUCUAGUCGUGUGUUCAGUUAUUAUAGUGUACAACGUGAUUGACCUCCGCAAAUACUUUAACAACGCCCACGUUUACUAUCACGUAUUUAUACUUAUAGAACUUACAAACUUUGUGAUACGCUACGUGUCGGCCUAUUACACUCUUUAUCACGGAAUUAGACAAUAUGACAUGUGGCCAAAGCUGAUGGACAAAAUAAAAGAUCUCGAUCGAAAAAUCAGGAGAGAAACACGUAUUAAUGACGAGCCAAUACAGAAGGCAGAAGUAGCAGCGAUUCUUGUGACUUUCGUUUGCUGUUCUUUAUUGUUAAUCAUAAACAUUAUAUAUUCUCUUAUUACAUAUUCGAAAAUUCUUUACGUGAUCGAUUUGACGUGUUAUUACAUCAUAGCCCGGUCAUUGAUUAGCAGUUUCGUUUUCGAUGUUGUUGUUUAUGUGCUAUAUUAUAGAUUUCGAACGAUAAAUAAAUUAAUUUGUCAAUUGGAUAUGUCAUUUAGUGCGCAAUGGAUCGCAUUCAAGAUUCGACGUAUCAGAGAAUUGCACACGGAUGUUUGUGAACUCGUCAGCAUGGUAAACGAUAUUUACGGCCUUCAUCUCCUUAUCUGCGUGACGAGAUGCUUCAUCACGAUCAUAGCUAUUUUGUUCAAAAUCUACAUAACUGUGAAGGAAUAUCAUGCUAGCUGCUAUUUUAUAUUGCUAAAUACUGUAUAUUUGAUUUUAUAUACCACGCAAUUUGGUCUGAUGUGUUGGAUUUGCACACUUGCGCGUCAAGAAUCUGAAAAGAUUGGGAUAAUUAUAUGCGAAAUUGCAUUGAAAUGCAAACCUGUGAGUUACGACAUACAACACGAGACAAGGGUUCAAUUGGAUUUGGGGACGCAAUUGCAAAGGCUGAUCAAUAAUCAAAAUCUCUUGUUCAGAAAUCUAGAUCAAGAUUGUAUUAGAAGAGAAGUCAAAGACUUUUCGAUUCAACUGCAACAUCGUCGAGUAGCAUUUACAGCCUACAAUUUUUUCGAAAUAAGCAAUGCUCUGUUCUGUGGUGUAAGUACAACAUUUAUUUAUUUUUUUGCAAUUUUUAUAAAGUCAGCGUUUCUUGAAUUGUAAUAUAUUAUAAAUAAUGGUUCUUAAAACAAUUAAAUGAAAUAAACUUGUUUUUCAGUGCAUCGGGGUGGUCAUUACUUAUUUGGUAAUUUCCAUUCAAUUCGCUCAAUCUUCUUAGUGUGAAGAAUAUUAUGUAUGCUAUUCAAAAUACGUUGUAAAGACAAUAAUGGGCGAAGCGUGGGAGGAGGAAUAGGAAAAGAGAAUAGGAAGGGAAACAAGUAGGCAGAGGAUACGAUAGUAAGGAGAAUCGACAUCAGGUUGUUGGGCCCGAGACGUUAAGGCUAAAAGAAGCAAGCCGUCAUAUUCAUUACUUGGUGUCAUUAAUUGGCGAUCAGGACCGAUGUAUGAGAGCUUGAUAGAAAUUGUAAUUUGGAUGAUUUUUCGCAAAGUUGCAUCAUUUUGAAGAUUGCGUAAAAAUUCGAUCAAAAUUUUUGUCUUGUCUUUUUUGCGUUGUGUGUGUGUGUGUGUGUGUGUGUGUGUGUGUGUGUGUGUGUGUGUAUUAGGGUGGCUCUUAUUUGGAUUAUUUUCAAAUUUUGAUGAGUACGCCGCCUAGAUUGGUUUCAAAUAUAUAAAUAAUAUAUAUAAGGCAAGGUAGUCUCUAGUGUAAAGUGGAAAAUGUAAAAAUCGUCAUUAAUUUAUGUAAAAAAUAUUAUUAAGCAUAUAUGAUACAUAACAAUAUAACAAUAU